AUGCUGGAGGUAUCAGAAGUGCGAAUGCUGACAUAAGUAACGAUAAAGCGGGUGAAAAGCCCGCUCGCCGGAAGACCAAGGGUUCCUGUCCAACGUUAAUCGGGGCAGGGUGAGUCGACCCCUAAGGCGAGGCCGAAAGGCGUAGUCGAUGGGAAACAGGUUAAUAUUCCUGUACUUGGUGUUACUGCGAAGGGGGGACGGAGAAGGCUAUGUUGGCCGGGCGACGGUUGUCCCGGUUUAAGCGUGUAGGCUGGUUUUCCAGGCAAAUCCGGAAAAUCAAGGCUGAGGCGUGAUGACGAGGCACUACGGUGCUGAAGCAACAAAUGCCCUGCUUCCAGGAAAAGCCUCUAAGCAUCAGGUAACAUCAAAUCGUACCCCAAACCGACACAGGUGGUCAGGUAGAGAAUACCAAGGCGCUUGAGAGAACUCGGGUGAAGGAACUAGGCAAAAUGGUGCCGUAACUUCGGGAGAAGGCACGCUGAUAUGUAGGUGAAGUCCCUCGCGGAUGGAGCUGAAAUCAGUCGAAGAUACCAGCUGGCUGCAACUGUUUAUUAAAAACACAGCACUGUGCAAACACGAAAGUGGACGUAUACGGUGUGACGCCUGCCCGGUGCCGGAAGGUUAAUUGAUGGGGUUAGCGGUAACGCGAAGCUCUUGAUCGAAGCCCCGGUAAACGGCGGCCGUAACUAUAACGGUCCUAAGGUAGCGAAAUUCCUUGUCGGGUAAGUUCCGACCUGCACGAAUGGCGUAAUGAUGGCCAGGCUGUCUCCACCCGAGACUCAGUGAAAUUGAACUCGCUGUGAAGAUGCAGUGUACCCGCGGCAAGACGGAAAGACCCCGUGAACCUUUACUAUAGCUUGACACUGAACAUUGAGCCUUGAUGUGUAGGAUAGGUGGGAGGCUUUGAAGUGUGGACGCCAGUCUGCAUGGAGCCGACCUUGAAAUACCACCCUUUAAUGUUUGAUGUUCUAACGUUGGCCCCUGAUCGGGGUUGCGGACAGUGUCUGGUGGGUAGUUUGACUGGGGCGGUCUCCUCCUAAAGAGUAACGGAGGAGCACGAAGGUUGGCUAAUCCUGGUCGGACAUCAGGAGGUUAGUGCAAUGGCAUAAGCCAGCUUGACUGCGAGCGUGACGGCGCGAGCAGGUGCGAAAGCAGGUCAUAGUGAUCCGGUGGUUCUGAAUGGAAGGGCCAUCGCUCAACGGAUAAAAGGUACUCCGGGGAUAACAGGCUGAUACCGCCCAAGAGUUCAUAUCGACGGCGGUGUUUGGCACCUCGAUGUCGGCUCAUCACAUCCUGGGGCUGAAGUAGGUCCCAAGGGUAUGGCUGUUCGCCAUUUAAAGUGGUACGCGAGCUGGGUUUAGAACGUCGUGAGACAGUUCGGUCCCUAUCUGCCGUGGGCGCUGGAGAACUGAGGGGGGCUGCUCCUAGUACGAGAGGACCGGAGUGGACGCAUCACUGGUGUUCGGGUUGUCAUGCCAAUGGCACUGCCCGGUAGCUAAAUGCGGAAGAGAUAAGUGCUGAAAGCAUCUAAGCACGAAACUUGCCCCGAGAUGAGUUCUCCCUGACCCUUUAAGGGUCCUGAAGGAACGUUGAAGACGACGACGUUGAUAGGCCGGGUGUGUAAGCGCAGCGAUGCGUUGAGCUAACCGGUACUAAUGAACCGUGAGGCUUAACC
rnacentral:rRNA from 1 species